AGCUGAAUCUACAGUCGAGAUCGAUUUCACAAAAUUCGAUAUCAACCCGUGUCCUUAUUCGUACGGAAAUCCUACCCCUAAUUAUUUUGCUGGCAUCGCCGCCUGCAAAGACACAACUGAAUGCCAGCCACUGAGUGGAUUCGGGUUGAGCCGUGGUGGAUACGAGUGUGCGUGUCGACCAGGCUACCGCUACAAGAACCACACCCAGACGGAGCCUUUCAGAGGCGUGGAUAUCGAACUGGCCACAAAAGAAGAAUAUAUACACGGGUUCGAAUGUGAGGAAAUAGAAGGAGGGGACCAGCCUGUGUUGACAGACAAUGCUGUCCAACAGAGGCAGAGGGUCCUGAACAUAACAGCUGAUAACUGCCGUUCCACAUCCCCCAGUGACCUUGUUCUCCCCUACAACGAGCAGUUACUCAAGCAUUUCAAACCUCAAGGUCGCGUGGCAGUUCGUCUAGCUCACUUCCUAAGCAGCUUUCUUCAAACACAGUUCAACCCAGGACAGGACAGUGAGCUAAAGCCUCAG